rnacentral:tRNA from 1 species
GCCUGGGUGGCUCAGUUGGUUAAGCGUCUGAUUUCGGCUCAGGCCAUGAUCUCACGGUUCGUGGGUUCAAGCCCCGCAUCGGGCU